AACUAUUUCAAACCAGUGUUUCAAACACGUUUUGAUUUUUCAUUGUAAACAAAUAUUGAUUAAAAUUGUACUGUGAUUUCAGGAGUGUCUUAAAAACCCUCUAAAACAGAGGGGAAGUUCCAAGAGAAUUUCUAAUGGGAGCUGCUGACAGAGAUAGAAAACACAGUUUGUUUAUUUCUAAUAAGGAGCUGGAGGCUGUGGAGAAGCAGAUCCGUGACCUCGUGGAGAAGCAGGCCCAGCAGAGAGUGGAGAGCUGUGCUGGAAACAUUCAGGGGUUGACGCUCAUAAGUCCAGGCGUAAGACAUGAACCAGGACCUGGGCGAU